rnacentral:rRNA from 1 species
CCUACGGGAGGCAGCAGUGAGGAAUAUUGGUCAAUGGGCGCGAGCCUGAACCAGCCAAGUCGCGUGAAGGAUGACGGCCCUCCGGGUUGUAAACUUCUUUUAUAGAGGAGUAAAGUGAGGCACGUGUGCCUUUUUGUAUGUACUUUAUGAAUAAGGAUCGGCUAACUCCGUGCCAGCAGCCGCGGUAAUACGGAGGAUCCGAGCGUUAUCCGGAUUUAUUGGGUUUAAAGGGAGCGUAGAUGGGUUGUUAAGUCAGUUGUGAAAGUUUGCGGCUCAACCGUAAAAUUGCAAUUGAUACUGGCAGCCUUGAGUACAGUUGAGGUAGGUGGAAUUCGUGGUGUAGCGGUGAAAUGCUUAGAUAUCACGAAGAACUCCGAUUGCGAAGGCAGCUUACUAAACUGCCACUGACAUUGAUGCUCGAAAGUGUGGGUAUCAAACAGGAUUAGAUACCCGGGUAGUC